GUGCCAGCAGCCGCGGUAAUACGGAGGGUGCAAGCGUUAUUCGGAAUUACUGGGCGUAAAGCGCGUGUAGGCGGGAAGGUAAGUCUGAUGUGAAAGCCCCGGGCUUAACCUGGGAAGUGCAUUGGAAACUGCUUUUCUUGAGUACUGGAGAGGAAGGGAGAAUUCCCGGUGUAGAGGUGAAAUUCGUAGAGAUCGGGAGGAACACCAGUGGCGAAGGCGCCCUUCUGGACAGUUACUGACGCUGAGACGCGAAAGCGUGGGGAGCAAACAGGAUUAGAAACCCCUGUAGUCC
rnacentral:rRNA from 1 species